UACGGAGACCUCGAGCGUUACUCGGAUUUACUGGGCGUAAAGGGUGAGCAGGCGGCCAAGUGUGUCAGGUGUGAAAUCCCGGGGCUUAACCCCGGAACUGCGCCUGAAACUACUUGGCUAGAGUCUCGGAGAGGACAGUGGAAUUCUAGGUGUAGCGGUGAAAUGCGUAGAUAUCUAGAGGAACACCAGUGGCGAAGGCGACUGUCUGGACGAGUACUGACGCUCAAUCACGAAAGCGUGGGUAGCGAAA
rnacentral:rRNA from 1 species